rnacentral:rRNA from 1 species
GACGGAGGGUGCAAACGUUGUUCGGAAUCACUGGGCAUAAAGAGCACGUAGGCUGUGCGCUAAGUCAGGUGUGAAAUCCCCCGGCUCAACCGGGGAACUGCACCUGAUACUGGCGUGCUCGAGGACGGUAGGGGUGAGUGGAACUCCAGGUGGAGCGGUGAAAUGCGUAGAUAUCUGGAGGAACACCGGUGGCGAAAGCGGCUCACUGGACCGUCUCUGACGCUGAGGUGCGAAAGCUAGGGUAGCAAACGGG